GUCAUGUGUGAUUGUGACCUCCCAUUAAUCUGUGAAAUCUGUUAAAGUCACAGCUGUGCAGGUGAACAAAUGUAUUGUCCUCAUGGGGCCACUUUCUAGCAGAAGAUGAUGGUACCACCUUCCACUGCAAAAUUAACUUCUAUCUUCCUGAAACAACUGUGCUCAUGGAGACUUACUGCUAAAUAAACACGCUCCUUUUAGUCCUUUCUGAACUCCGGCUGGCUGGUUCAACUAAGUUGCUGUGGCUAAACUCCUCUUCAUGCUGACUGGUUCAAUCUGGCAUCUCACCGAAUUCCCUGCUUGGCUUCAAACUAACUCCAGCAAUUUGUUCUAAUCUUCUGGCUCCUGCUUAUUUUGGCUUCAGUCACCUCUGUUGACCUGCAUUGAACUUCAUGAGCUCCAGAACAAAUUCCACUGCACUGUCCUCACUGCAUUGACUCCCAGCUGACUGCCUCCCUCUUCACUGCUCUGAAUUAGGUUCUUUUUUUUUCUGUGCAAUUCUUGAAAGAGUUGGGUUUAUCAUAUCUCUGACUCAUUCUAUUAAGUAUUACUCUGAUUCAUCAGAGAUUUGUCUAUUUCUCAAUUAGACAUCACUUUCAAACAUGGCAGCUUCCUUCUACAAUCUAAUCUUAUCUCAAAGGUUUGUACUGACAGCAUGUCUGUGUUGGUCAAUGGGUGCCAGGAAAUGAAGGGAGUGGGAGAAAACUUGUGACCCGCCAGAGUUCCGGUGCUCUGAGUGGGCAGACAUGGAAGGACUGCCACAAGAUUUUUACAUGCCCCUGGUGGGUGUCUGUAGGAAGCCACGGACCCCAGCUCAGCAGGUGGUGGACAAGGGACAGUCCUAGGUAACAGGUUCACAGCCUCAGGUAUCCCAAACACUGCUGGACACUGAGGAAGAGCUGAGAACAGAAUCGGGGCCCCAGGGGUGGCUUGGUCAGCCCUGGGCCGAAGGGAGAAGAAGGCAGGGGGACAGGGAAGUGCUGUGUGUUUCCCAUGCAGAAUCCUUGGUCUGGUCUGUGGCUAGAGUGCAGAAAGGCUUCUGGCUGGAGGUUAGACAGGGCUAGUUAGGGGAUAACCUAUCCCGUCGUUCAAGCUCAGCAGGCCUUGAUGAGCAGAGAAAUUCUAUGGUUUUAGAGCUUUAUUGUAGAAAGGUAGGGGGAAAGAGAGAGGGCCAUGGCCACGUUGGGGGGGGUGAUGGAGAGAGAGAAGGGCUAGAAAGUAAGAAAUGUGAGAGCUUAAAGAGAGGGAAGAGAGACCAAGCAGCCCCUUUUAUAUUGGGCUGGGCUAUCAGCUAACUGUGGGGAGGAGCAUACCUGGCUAUAUGUAGGGUGGAGUCUAGCCAGAAUGCCAGGAGCUUGGGACAUUGUCUACAUGACUAAUAGUCACACAACUCUCCUGUGGAGGCUGUGGGGGAGGUAACUUUGACAGGAGCUAGGGUUCCAGGAGACAUGAUCAAACACCUUCUGUCCCAUGUAGGUGGAAAUCACCACCCAUCGGGUCCCCUGGGGUUCUAGAUCUUUGCUCAACUGGACACCAGGCUGUCUGUGCACAGCCCACUGCCCCACAUGUCUGUAUUGCAGCCAGAGAAGAUAAAGACCUGUGAUAUGUCUGCAUUUCUGUUGAAACACACAGAACUAGGACUUUGGGUGUGAUCAGUAGCCAGAGAAGCCAUGUUGCUGGACUAUAAUUCUUCUACAUUCUACUACUUAUGCCAAAGCCCUUGGCUUUAUUUUAGCUUGAGCUAAUCUUACAGUUGGCUUGAUAAAUUAAUAACAAAUAGCUCUUUAUUUUGAUUUUAUUUAUUUAUUUUAAUUAUUUUAUUCCCACUAAGUCAACACCUAUUUAAGGACUAUUAACGAAUGGGUGGUAUCACAGGAAGCAAAACAGAGAAAGGGAGAAAGAAACCAUUCCUAUCCUCCAGAAGCUGUAAGAUUGUUUACUCAUGACCGAACAGCUCCAUCUCAAUUCUUUUUUGUUGUCUGUUGAAAGAACAGUGGUUUUCCAAUGAAACUUUCCUUGAUACCAUUUGUGUGGCCUGGAAAGCUGAUAGCUGGUCAGGACCUGGUCUGGGAGGUCCCACUAUCACAUGGUUCUGCCAAUCCACCUCCCAGUUUUCUACAAAUGAGCAAAUUCCCCAUGUGGAAAGGAUGUCCUCUUUCUGGCUGUUUUCUUCAGGGGUGUGUUGUGUGCCUGUUCUUUAUUUGCCAAGUGCCUGACUUCCUUUAUAGCUAUAGUACAUUGUCAUUGUUUAGAAUGUACUUUUAUAGCAGUGGUGUGAACCUGUUAUUCCCUCCAGUUCUAGAUGGGAGUGCAUAUUCCAUUCCACAAAAUUCAUUUCUUUGAACUUAAGAUUUUGCUCCAUACAAAUAGUUUGUUUUGGAAAUUUUUCCUAAUCAAAUGCAGUCUCCUUAAGAAUCUUUAUGUGAUUGGUCAUGAAGUGCUCACAAAUGUUCAAGCAUCUUACAUGAAAUAGUACACACAGUGCUUUCCACGUAACCUGUGCUCAUCUCCCUUUUUAAAUUCAGAUUGUUUUCAAAUCAUUAGUGAUGCCGAGUAUACUAUAAGUCAUUGUUGGGCUGUAUUACUUGUGAGAAAUAAUGUCAAUAAAUAGAACUUUACAUGUCCAGUACAAUUACAACUCAUCUUCUCAAAUAUUUUACAACAGUAGUUGAAUCUGUGGAUUCUAGAGCUUCAAAUAUAAAGUACCAACUUUAAAACUUUAAUGUAGGAAAGUGGUCAUGUAUACAAGCCUGGGACAGACAUUGAAGCUGGGAUGCCAGGUGGCUUGUUCUUCAGAUUAGUCAUGCAACAUAACUGGAUCUUCAGAUGUUCCCCUAUAGUAGUUUCUUGCUGCAACUGUUUCUCACUGUGAUGUCCACAGACAAAAUGCAUUAGAAUACCUGAGAUCUGAUAGAAGUUGUCCAUAAAAACUAAGUUCACAGCUUCACCAUGAACUUUAAUUAGGAGACCAUAGGCAUCUUUACUGCUUGGUAGUGCCCCCAAAGAGAGUUUUAAGCUUCCACAGUUUGACAGUCAUGAUGGCCAGAGUUUAAUACUUCUCUAUGAAUGCCAUCUUUUAUUUAAAAAUUCACUUGUUUUUAUUGUUUGAGAAUUCCAUACAUGAAUAUAAUGUGUUUUGUUCACCUUUAAUUAAUGUAGAUCUGUGUGUGUGUGUGUGUGUGUGUGUGUGUGUUCAUGUGUAAAAUUGCACAUGAGUUUGCAGACACACAUGCAUGUAUAUGGUGUAUAUGUAUAGGUAUGUGUGUAUAGAGGCCAGAAGGCAACCUUGCUUGUUGUGUUUUAGGGACUCUCCACCAUUUUAGGCAAGAUUUCUUAUUUGUGUAUCCUGGGUAGGCAGGAAGCCAUCAGCUGGCCUUGGCCUCUCCACCCCUGGGGUUAUAUGUUUGUACCUCCAGUCCCAGCUCUUGGUUUUUCAGCAGGGAUAAUGGAAAUCAAGCUCAGUUCCUUGACUUGUUUGCAUGGCAAACACUUUUCUAGCCCUGGGUAGAUCUUAUUUCCUUUUAAAGUGAUGCAAUCAGGCUGGUGGUACAAUGGUAGGUUAGUGGUCUAGUGAAUGCUUCUCAUACAUAAGACUCUGGGCUUUAUUCUGCAGAACCAUAAACAACAACAAAAAUAAAUAAGUCAAAGUCACAAAAACAAAACAAAUUUCCACAUUCCAAGCUGCUGCCAAAGAUGGAAAUCAGUUUCCAGAAGUAUUUGCCUCAGAAGUUUUCAAAGAAACCCAAAUGUGCAUGCAACACUGGACAGAUGAAAGGAAGACAGGAGGGAAAGUAGCAUAGAGAUACAUUUCUGUGGAAAUGCCACACGCCUGCCAAUUCACCUUAAUGUAACAUUUGCUAGGGUUUUUACAGAUGCAUAUUUUAUCAAUAAAACACAUUUUAUUUCAGCUUUGAUUCAGUUCAGGGCCCAGAUGUGUUCCAGUUCUCCAAAGUGACCUUGUUCUAAAAGAACUGGAAAGAAGCCUUUUACCUCUUCUCUUUUUGGAGCCCUUGGCUUUUGGGAAUGCUGUAAUGUUGC
rnacentral:lncRNA from 1 species